rnacentral:rRNA from 1 species
AGUCACUGACAUUAGAUACCCGCGUAGUCCAGGGUGUAAACGCUGCAGACUUGGUGUUGGAGGCCCUUUGGGGGCAUUCAGUGCCGGAGAGAAGUUGUUAAGUCUGCUACUUGGGGAGUACGUCCGCAAGGAUGAAACUCAAAGGAAUUGGCGGGGGAGCACCGCAACGGGAGGAGCGUGCGGUUUAAUUUGGAUUCAACACCGUAAAACUCACCAGGGAAGACUGUUACAUGAAGGCCGAGAUGAAGACUCUGCUAGAUUUUCAG